rnacentral:ncRNA from 1 species
CACCGCCCGUCGCUAUUCCCGAUUGGAUGGCUUAAUGCAGCCCUCGCCCUCGGCCCCGGCAGGGUCGGUCCACGGCCCUGGCGGAACGCUGAAAAAGACGGUCGAACUUGACUAUCUAUAGGAAGUAAAAGUCGUAACAAUGGUUUCCGUAGGUGAACCUGCGGAAG